rnacentral:lncRNA from 1 species
AUGUGAGAGCCUAAAAAUUAGACUAUAAGAAAGAAGGAAUUCUGAAACUCAAGAAAAAUAGCUGAAAAAUUCUUGUAAAAAUACUGUAUUAUUGAACAUUUUCUCUGAUUUUUGAGUUGCUGAUUUCUAAAAUGGUAUUUGAUUCUAGGGUAUGAAGUGAUAUUGAAUUUUUGAAAAAGUUUUCUGGGUCAAUUGGUUAAGCACUACUAUUCCGUGAAGUUUUUAAGUUGAUCUUAUAGUUUUCCAUUGUAAAUCUAGGUUGGAGUUUGUGGCUAGCUGGUUAUUGCUGAUUUUUGCAUACUGUCUCACUCCUGUUCAUUUCCUUUUAUCCAAUUUCCAGGUACUCCUUGACUCUAUAAGGAAAUUAUAUGCAAACAUACAAGUCGUUGAUCGUCUGAAGUUUUCUAUGAAAGGAUGAUUGUUUUCCAUUAUACCUUCAAUGACAAAUCUUGUUUAAAAAUUCUAAGUUUUAGUUAGUUUAGCAUAAUAAUAUUUAGCUUAUCCCAUUCGUGUUAAUGUAGUGAUAGCAUGUUCAGAAUCCUGCUGCUCUUUAUCUGGAAACUGGUAGAGUUAUUAGCCUAUACGAACAUUAAAGGACUGUACUUUUGGAUUCUUAUUUAGAAAUGCUCAGUUUUCGAUUUGUG